rnacentral:ncRNA from 1 species
AGAGGAAGCCGGUGCGAAUCCGGCGCGGUCCCGCCACUGUCAUCGGGGAGCGACCCUCACCAGCCACGGCCGCCAGGUCGGAAGGCGAGGCCAGCAGCGAUCCGAGAGCCAGGAGACUC